GUUGUUGUGUUAGUAUUUCUCUGGGUAGUUUUAUGAGACUAGUGAUAGUUUGACGAGACUUUACUUUUAUGAGCCUAGUGGAAGUGUGACAAGACUUUGGUAGAGGUUACGAGUACUUCCAUGGGUAGUUUUAUGAGCUUAGUUAUAGUUUGACAAGGCUUCUGCACCAUGAACGAAGAAAAGCCUUAUGAGAACCCGAUUAACCCCCUCUGUGGACAUUGGCAAUACUUGUAAGAUCCGAAAACGUCUAAUUGCGAACCUUACCUCCACUACCACCUGCACCGCCAUCUCCAGCACCACCGCCACCGUUGCCAGAUUAUCGUACUCAGAGCGUAGUAUUUACCGGUUUCUGACGCCUAACUAUUGCCAAGAAACAUCAGGAUCUAACUCUUUUAACGAUAACCAUAAAUGAGUUUCGUUAUUGGAGCCCAGAAGACAGUUUGGUGUAGGAAGUCGGGAAAUAUAAGCGGCUGAGUACGACAAUCUGGCAACGUUGAACUCUCCACUCCACCACCGCCAUUUCAUUCAGCCCGUGGAGGUCCGAGGCAGAGGACGUGGUUUUUGGACGCUCUCAACACGUUUUCUCUGACCAUCACAUUCAAGGAGGGACUCAAGUGCUCAAGAAUGGGGUGUUAUCUUGUUUUUCAGAGAAGUGUCAAGGCAAACUGGUGGACUUUCACAAACUGCAAACUUCCCUUCGUUGAUGGUUGAAGGAAGCAGAAGAGGGAGGAGGAGGGAGGAGGAGGAGGAGGUCACUGCAAUCCCCGGACACAGACGAGUUUGAAGCAGAGGCCAACACCUUCCUGUUAACUCAGUAGUGAAGAGAUGGAUGGACACCUCGACGACCCAACGGACGGGCCAAGCUGCGGAGGAAGGGAAGAACAAGAUGGUAGAGGAAGAGAAGAUGGGAGGUGAAAAGGAGGAACAAGAUGAAGUGGUAGAGGAAGAGAAGAUGGGAGAGCAAAGGCCAAGAUGAUGAGAGGUGAGAAGGAGGAACAAGAAGAAUCCAGAACAAGAAAAGAAAGCAAGAGGAAAAAGCAAGUAAGUAGAAGAGUACACCACCACCCAACUCCCCAGGCCCAUGCAGGGACCAGUGUGUCAGACUCGCUGGCUGGCCGUGGCGCCGGUACAUGAGCAGCGUAGAGUUCAAAGUCACCGAGACUCCCCAACUUAAUAUUUUGUUGCUUUUUAUUUUUUUUUAUAUAUUCUGCUGCAUGCAUGAUUUGUAUAUAGCAUCGGAAAGCAAGUUAAUUUAUUCAAACUAAACUGUGAUGCUGUAACUCUAUAAACAUUCAAUAAAACCUCUCUAUCCUUGGCAUGAACGACGUCAUUGGAGGCGUCAAAUGCAUCUAAGUAAACAAUCUUAUGCAUUUCUUGAUAGCUCUCAAGCACUCCCAAUCUUCCUCAGUGACAUUCAGUGACGUCUUGUGUGUAUCUGGCUAUAGUACCUUUGACUCUGCAAGGUGAGAGGCCAGGGAGUGCCACACAAGACUAUAUCCAUUCCCUUCAGCUGGAUCCGUUACCCCCAGCGAAGUAUGUAAGAAUCCUGCUUUUAGUGGGCGCAGCGUCUGACAUCUCCAUAAUCCCGACACAAUCGCCUAAGUUCAGAGAUCGUUCAUAAUUCUUUGCUUAGCUCAACUGUUAUACGAGAUGGGCAAAUUUCCUUGACAUCAUUACAUUAACCCGGUAGCAGCGUGGAUCAUGUUACUUAAUGGUCCUCCUAAGCGAGAAAAAAUCAUCACCCACGCAAACCAUUUCAUAAUAUCAAAGCAUUUGUGAUCAGUUUAUGUAUCAUCUAUUUUGGGGCGGGUUAUAUCAUGGCACAAAUUUGGCCCGUCGCUGGUACCGGGUUAAUAGCUAUAUGAUCCCAGCUUAUACUAAUGUCAGAAUUUGCCUGUCUUGUGUAGCAGAUGAACAAAGUAAAGAAUAUGAAUGUCUUCUGAACCUUGGCGAUUGUGUUAGGCGACAGAGAGAUCAGGCACCAACCAGCAGCAUCCUUACAUACCCUUCUAGAUGCCAGGGAUCCAGCUGAAGGGAAUUGACUACAGCCUCAUAUGACUCUCUGGUCCCACAACUUGCAGAGGGGAAAGCAGUCCACUCAAACACACACGACGUCACUGAAAGAAACCGAGGAAAAUUGAGCAAGACAAGGUGUUUGAGAGCUAUCAAGAGACACAGAAGCUCUCCUCACAUACACUGAUACCUACUUAUAUUAAUUAUGUCAAAAUUCGCCCUCUUGUGUAGCAGAUGAACUAAGUAAAGAAUAUGAAUGUCCUCUAAACCUACGU